rnacentral:ncRNA from 1 species
AACUAUAACGGUCCUAAGGUAGCGAAAUUCCUUGUCGGGUAAGUUCCGACCCGCACGAAAGGCGUAACGAUCUGGGCACUGUCUCGGAGAGAGGCUCGGUGAAAUAGACAUGUUGAAGAUGCGGACUACCUGCACCUGGACAGAAAGACCCUAUGAAGCUUUACUGUUCCCUGGGAUUGGCUUUGNNCCUUUCCUGCGCAGCUUAGGUGGAAGGCGAAGAAGGCCCCCUUCCGGGGGGGCCCGAGCCAUCAGUGAGAUACCACUCUGGAAGAGCUCGGAUUC